AUCACCCGGAGUCUAAGGAGCUCCCCGGGAUGCGGGGCGUUCAGUGCCAGCGUUGAGUCAUUUGUCAGCAAACUGGGAAGUUGGUCCUGAUGGAUGGACUGAAAGACGGACGAAGAGCGGCUGUGAACGGUGGAUAGAGGCGUGUCUAAUGUCCAGGCGGACCGAGGUCUGGGUGGAGAUGGGCGGGAAACGACGACGCACAGAGGGGUGGACGGAAGGACGCCCUUCAGCCCCACUGCUCAGCCUCCCGGGUUUCCCACGUAUCACACGGUGCAUUCUCCAGGCUCCGGGACUGGGGCCAGCUGUUCCCCUAAUGGGGACUGCACUUGCCACAGCUUUCCACAGGACUGCACCCCAGAGCCCCAGAGCCCCCAGUGUGAUCCCCUCAUCCUGCCCUGCUCUCGUCCACAGCCGUUACCAGUCAUUUAUGUAAGUAUCGUCCUCUCACCGCGUUGGCUUCCUCCCCUAGAACGUGAGCUCUGUGAGGUGGAAAUCCCGUUGCUAAUGAAUGUAGCCCGAGCACCUCAAACACCAAGUAGGUCCAGAAAUACAUGCUGAAUGACUGAAUAAAAAGCAUGCCAGGAGGUGGAGCAAGGAGAAGCCCAGGGAAUGAGUAUCUUGUAACCACUGGUUCCAGAGAGUGAGGGUGAAAGAAGGAAGAGGCAAGAGCAAGCAGAAGGGGAGAAGAUAGAAGACUGCUCACCACCAGCAGUCAGCGCGCCCCUCAUGUGUCUAAUUACAGGCGUGUAACUGUGAAGAAAGCGAUUUUCAGAGGCACGUUUAAGCGAUGAAACCCGUCAAGAAAACCAAGGAAGCAAUGACCACCUGACCCAAACCUCGGAGAGAGCAGAGAGGAAGCCGGCUGGACCGCAGGGGCUGCGGGGCCCUCCAGGGUGCUUCAUCUGAGUCCUUUUUUUAAAACAUAUUUUUUUUUAUUGAUUUCAGAGAGAGGAGGGAGAGGGAGAGAGAAACAUCAACGAU